rnacentral:misc_RNA from 1 species
UUUUGUUUUUUUUUUUUUAAAAAAAAAACAAUGAUACAUAACCAGAAGUCAGGAUGAAAUUAAAAACUUGUGAUAUCACAAACUAUAGUUUUAAGAGAUCAGAUGAUAUUUGGAUUAAAGACAACAUGAGAUGAACAAGAGGAAUAAGGACCAGAUGAUCACAACUAGGACGGAUAUUCACUUUCACCACAAAGAACACUCAAAGGGAAAGAAAUAAACUCUCAAAAUCAUAUUAAUUCUCAAUUGUCAGUAUCAAUAAUAAUAAGCUCUAUCAUAAUACCUAUAUGACAUGAUAUUUAUAGUAUAAUAACUAGUCCUACUAGUAAUAGGAUUAGAAAUCUGAAAAUAAGAAAUAUUAAACCAAUACUAAUUAGGAAUACCAAACACAAUUUUUAUAAGGUCAAACACUCAUUAAAUACAAAACCAGUAACUGUAAAAGUGCAGCUAAGGGCCUGCUUCAGAGCUAAGGGCCUGCUUCGGAGCAUUAAUAAGUCCAAAUUUCGCAUGUAGAUAAUAUCCUACCAUUCAAUAUGACUAUUUUUGUUGAUUGUGACUUACAAACAACAUGAUCAAAAACUCAAACAGAUAAUCAAAUAGUCAAGCUCAUUCAUGGCAGCCUGGGAUGUCCAUCCUCAACUAUUUCACUAUAUAGAAAGGGUCAAAAGCUCAUUACAAGCGGCUAUUUACGAGGUAAAAUAUUAACAGUCUAGAAGGCUCACUGCAUAUACACAAUGCCUUCAACUGUUCUCUGCAUCAUUUAAUAGUACAAUCCCAGGUCAAUACUAUUGUUAGGGGAGAGGGCUGCUAUUUUUGAAGCACUUUUACCACAUGAAUGAUGCAAGGCUAGAAAGGCUGGAAACUAGCACGGUGGCGCAGGAUUGGAGAAACACAAAGUAAACACUCAACAUACCACUUGAAGAGUUCUUUUGCCCAUGAAACUAAGCAAAAUCCUUGCAUAAUAGAUUAUAACAAUUCACAAACCAGUUUGUUAAUUCAGAUGAACUCCAGAACUAAGUGCAUACUAUUCCAAAAAAAGCCAAAGGAUCACACAACAAAGAUCAUAAACAAUACCCCCUCCGUCUCAUUUCAAGUGAUUUUUUUUCAAAAAAAAAAAUUGUCCCACUUUAUUUGCUUUUUUAGAAAAUUAAGGAAACAUUAAUUAUUUUUUUUCCAACUUUACUCUUAUCUAUUGUUACCUCCAAUGCAUUUAUCUCUUCCUUAUCACUUUUCUCUAUCUUAAUUAAAUAUAAGUACUUAAGUCAAUUAUUAGUAUUUUUUUUUCAUAAAAUGAAGUUAUCCAAUCAUUUCUGCAAAAA